rnacentral:lncRNA from 1 species
AAGGCCAUCCAAGAAAAUGGAAGUUUGUCACCCCAAGUGGAACAAUAAUUAAACACUGGUCUGUUUUCAAAUAGGCUGCUUAGCACCACUGUGCACAGAAGACGAUGAUCGAUGCUCGCAGAAAUGAGGAGUGCCUACAGAUUCCAGAGCAACGACUCAGUGGUCUUAACAGCCUGUGAUGCUUGGGAGAGAAUACAUUUGGAAGCAAGGAAGGAGAGAAAGACAUAAAGACAAGGAAGGGGAAGAGAGAAGGCAAUAUCUACGGUCCGCAGUCUACAUCACUUCUAACUAUCCUUGUGAAAGAAGAUCUGGUCACUGUAUGGAAUUCAUCAUCUCCGUGACCAUGAGUAGGAGACUUAAAGGUCUUUUUACGGCAAUUUCCUCACCUGAAAAAUGCUGGAAAAUGGCAUGUUAGUUCCUCCUCUGAGCGGUGCUGCGGAUGACAUGAGGUAAUGUUUGCAAGAUACUGACAGGAGUGCCUGGAACAAUGUAACAACUCUCCAUUGCUGGCUUCUGCUGGAACACAUUUGGGAAAUCAAGCCUUUCUUCAAUCAUCCACUCAAGCUGGUGGAAUCAUGGUGAAUAUGACAGUCUCAUAUACAUCCGAGAAAGAGAGGAAAAUGAGCUACAUUUCCUAAAGAAGCUGUUAAGGUGACCGCUGCGUGAAACACACAUAAUGAUGUGAUAGAGAGAAAAUCCGCCCUGAUCAGAUGCUCAGAUCUGAGGUAUCACUGCUGCCUGUGUGACUUGGGAGUCAGACUGAACUUCUAACUUCAUCUUUCUCUCAAACACAACAAGGUUGACAGGGAAAGGAAGUACAUUAGUGAUUGCCAGAGCUGGUAAGAGAGAGGUGUGGUGAGUGGGUUUGGGGUCUUUGGAAGGGGAAAGUGGAGAUUGGGGGUUAGAUGGCCAGAGACUACAACAUUGUGAACACAUUAGACACUACUACAUAGUGUACUGCAAAGUGAUGAAAUGGUGAAUCCUAGUGUCUUUUAUCACAAUAAAAACACAAGAUAGUUGUACUAGAUGAAACGA